rnacentral:misc_RNA from 1 species
GAUGAAGAACGUAGCGAAAUGCGAUAAGUAAUGCGAAUUGCAGAAUCCGUGAGUCAUCGAAUCUUUGAACGCACAUUGCGCCCUCUGGUAUUCCGGGGGGCAUGCCUGUUCGAGCGUCAUUACAACCCUCAAGCUUUGCUUGGUAUUGGACAUUGCCAGUUUCUGGCAGGUCUUAAAAUCAGUGGCGGUGCCAUUUGGCUUCAAGCGUAGUAAUUCUUCUCGCUUUGGAGAUCCAGGUGGUUACUUGCCAAUAACCCCCAAUUUUUUCAGGUUGACCUCGGAUCAGGUAGGGAUACCCGCUGAACUUAAGCAUAUCAAUAAGCGGAGGA